rnacentral:rRNA from 1 species
GCGCCCUCCCGUCGGCCGCCCUACUCGACGACUCCGAGGGACGUAGCGAAGUGGGGAAUAUUGCGGCUAAUGGGCGAAAGCCGUACGACGCAGCGACGCCGCGUGGGGGAUGGAAGGCCUUACGGGGUUCGUAAACCCCGGUUUCAAGCCUAGGGACCGAAAGCGAAAGUGACGGUACCGUGCAGAAGAAGCGCCGGCUAACUACGUGCCAGCAGCCGCGGUAAUUC